rnacentral:rRNA from 1 species
CCAAGGAAGGCAGCAGGCACGCAAAUUACCCACUCCCGGCACGGGGAGGUAGUGACGAAAAAUAACGAUACGGGACUCAUCCGAGGCCCCGUAAUCGGAAUGAGCACACUUUAAAGACUUUAACGAGUAUCCAUUGGAGGGCAAGUCUGGUGCCAGCAGCCGCGGUAAUUCCAGCUCCAAUAGCGUAUAUUAAAGUUGCUGCGGUUAAAAAGCUCGUAGUUGGACUUGUGUCCCGCGCUGUCGGUUCACCGUUCGUCGGUGUCUAACUGGCAUGCCGCGGGGACGUCCUGCUGGUGGAUGCGGUCGGCCGUGGGCCUCUGGCUCGCGCGUCGGCGGUCCGGUGCAAUCCUACCGCGGUGCUCUUCACCGAGUGUCGAGGUGGGCCAGCACGUUUACUUUGAACAAAUUAGAGUGCUUAAAGCAGGCAUGGGUUCGCCUGAAUACUGUGUGCAUGGAAUAAUGGAAUAGGACCUCGGUUCUAUUUCGUUGGUUUCCGGAACCCGAGGUAAUGAUUAACAGGGACAGACGGGGGCAUUCGUAUUGCGACGUUAGAGGUGAAAUUCUUGGAUCGUCGCAAGACGAACCUAAGCGAAAGCAUUUGCCAUGAAUGUUUUCAUUAAUCAAGAACGAAAGUUAGAGGUUCGAAGGCGAUCAGAUACCGCCCUAGUUCUAACCAUAAACGAUGCCAGCCAGCGAUCCGCCGACGUUCCUAAGAUGACUCGGCGGGCAGCCCCCGGGAAACCAAAGCUUUUGGGUUCCGGGGGAAGUAUGGUUGCAAAGCUGAAACUUAAAGGAAUUGACGGAAGGGCACCACCAGGAGUGGAGCCUGCGGCUUAAUUUGACUCAACACGGGAAACCUCACCAGGCCCGGACACCGGAAGGAUUGACAGAUUGAGAGCUCUUUCUUGAUUCGGUGGGUGG